ACAGAAAAAUCUGGAAAAGUACAGUUCUUUUUUCUUUUUUUUUUUUGUUUUAAUAUUUAAAUUUAAAUGAAUUAAUAUAAAAGUCAGGAAGCAGUUGUUCAAGGAUACACUAGUAACUUAAGUUUUCAUAUUUUUUACGUUUAGCUAUCUCACCUAUCUUCUGGUAUCUGAAUACCUAAUAUUGAGGAAACUUUUUUAUAAAAAAGACAGGGAUGGACAUUCUUCUAAACAAUUCUGAGACCAAACUGAAUUUCAUGGGAUCAAAAAUCCAGAAAAACAACAAUAUCCCUGCCCCCCCCCCCAAAAAAAAAAACAAAAAAACAAACAAAAAACCAGCCUUUACCUGUAUCACUCACUUCAUCUAUUUUGGUUAAGAAAAAGAGUUUUGUAAUUGUUGUUUAGUAUUCUUUGUUGGUCCACAGAUGAGAUUUUAUGGCUUUUUUUCUUUUGUUUUGUCAUUAUAACAUCUUGUAGUCAUGAGGUAGUAGAGGCACUGAGAAGUCUACUGGCCAUUCACUUCCUUCCCUAACAGCUUAUUCCAGAAAUGUCAGUGCAGAGGGGUGGUGCUUCAAAUGUGAGUAGAUGGCUUUUCUCUUUGAGAUUGAGGACUCAUUUAUCUCCCAAUAUUACUAACUAGAGUAUUUGUACACAGAGUGAAGCUAUUACUGUUAUAUUUUUGACAAUUUCAUGGCUGUCUUUAAUGCAUCUUAAUCAUAGUCAUCUCUCCAUUAUCUGCCAUAUUUCUCAGUAUAUCUCCUUUUCAACUUCAUAUCCUCUUUGCCUUUUUGUUUUGUUUUAAUAACACAGAAUCCAAUUAUUGCUGUCCAUGUGUACAUGGGUAGGGUUACCUCCUGGGGUGUAGGCAACUUGCCAGCCCCACACCCUCCAUCCCCAUCCCAAAGUGACUUUGCCUCCCCUAGCAUCCAUCUACGGCCUCAGCUAGAGGUGGAGCCUCGGGAAUUUCUCCUACCCAUAUUUAUCUUUAAAUAAUAUAAAAAUAAACAGUGAUUUUUAUUUCUACUUGUUGUCUACCUCAACUGAUUAAGUAACCAUUAUUAUUAGAUUUUUUAAUUCAAUUUUUUAAAAUUAUAGAUACAAGGAAACAUUUAAGUAUUCCUUUAUAUUUACUCCUCCCCUCCCCCAAGUGUGUGUCACUUUAGACUAUUAGACAUUUUACUUGCUUAACAAGGUACUUACUUAACUAGACCCCAAGUAGUUUUUUUUGGUAAUACAAACAGACCUGCAGUGGAGAAGCAAAAAUACGCCUCAUUCAGUGCUUGUUGGGUGUGUAUCUCAGAAAUAGCUUGGCUGGAUCAAGGGUAGAUACAAUGCUGCCAUUUUGCAUAAUGCUUUUCAUGGCCACAACCGAGCUCUUGAGGUUCAUCCAGAGGCAUCUCCUAGGCCCCUUUUGGAGACUAGAACACGUGAACAGAGUGUGGAGCUGCUGGGUAUAUGGCUCUGUCAGUCUUGGGUUGGGAAGAGAUGAGUAGCUGACUCUGGACACUAUCAGACAGUAUUUCUUUUGCUUUAAUUUUUCUUUUACUGGGAGGAUUAAACUUUGCCUUAUAAAUAGUUGAAGGCCUAUCACUGCUUGGGUCAUGGACCUUCUAUGUAAUGCACUCUCACUCUAAUGUUCUCGUUAAUCAUUAGCUAGCUAGGAUUAUUUUAGAGAAAAAUUAUGUUCACUAAUGUGAAAGGGGAGAGAAACUCAAACACACAGACUGCCAAAUAACACUUUUACUACUUAUUUGUAAGUUUUAUGUCACCCCUGUUCCAAGCUCUGUAUUUGUAUCAAGAUCUUUGAAAUGUUUUUACAUAAUAUGCAAAUGUCUUCAGAUCUAUCCUCUGUAUCGGAUCUUUAGAUGUUGGAAAUACAAAAAAGAUUAGAAUAGACAUAGUAAGCUAAAAACAUCCGUAGCCUUUCUUGUGAGCAACUGAAUUGGCUGGGGAGGGGAAACAGGUUCAUGCCUGCUGUCAGAAAUUACCUUGUGGAGAUUAAGUUUAUUGGGAAACAGAAAACAUGGGCCUGGGCUAGAAUGUACCAUACAUCUAGUUCCAAGUCCUGACAAACAUCUCACAAAUAAAAUAUUCCAUCUGAGAAGUGGUAUCCUCGGUUUCUGGAGAACCUUGUAAAGAUACUGCUGUGUUUUGAGUUGAGAUGGUGGCCCCUGAAUGUGGGCUUUUUCGUUUCAUAUCAGAAGACAAUGUACAGAUGGCAGACUUCACAAAUCAGGUAUUGUCUUUGCCAUUUACACCAAUUACUCUGUUCUGCCUGCUGUUAUCACAUCUGCAUUUCAGCCUGUUACUUACCCAUCUUUUUUAAAAAAAAAAAGAGAGAAGGUGGGAAUGGAUGCUUUCUUUAGAAGUAGAGGUUCCCAACACAAAGUUAUGUAUCUUUGGUUUUAAUCAGCAUUAUAACCAUGUAAGUUGCUUUCUGGCUUUGGUAUGUCACAAAGUUGGAUAUUUUCUUUUUAGGCUGUUCAGGGCUAUUCCUGGAAAACACAAUGGAUUUUUUUCUAAAUGCUCAUUGUAAAGAAUCUCAUACUUCAGUCAUGUAAUAAUGUUUCCCUGUCAUCCAUCAAGGAUCCUUAGCCUAGCAAGAGAUGUCUGUCCUGGUAUGAGAGAAUGAAAGAAUAAACUUUAAAAUAUCUGGAAAAUUAUUUAAAAAUUAUCAUUGGUGUAGUAAUCAGAUACUGUUUUCUUGUUUGAUAAUUGAAGUGUGGGAUGCUUAGAUCAGCAUUUUAGUAAUCAUUUGAGAUUAUGAAUUAUUGACAAAUUUGUUAAUUCUCUUAUGUGUUAGACACUGAGGCACCAGGGUGGUCAAGAAAGGCAAAGUCCUCACUUUCAUGUACUUACUAUAUAAUUCUGUUGGCAAAUAAGUAAUAAGCUUGCAAAAACACAUUUAAUUUCAAGGAAAAAAAUAAGUGCUGUGAAGAGAAUUAGAGAAUGAAGUAGAGUUGGGGUUAUCAGUGAUGUAUCAGUGGCCUUCAAGAGGAUAACUGAGCUGAGGGGAGGAGAAAGAGACAGCUAUGUGACUGUCUUGGGAAGAGAGUGGUAAACAGAAAAAGAUCACUAGCUCCAAAGCAAGCUGGAAAAUGAGGUGGAAAAGACAGGCCAGAGCCUUGACACUGGACUGGGAAAUGAAUUGGAAUUGAUUUUGAACUAAUGGAAAGCUAUGAUGGGUUUUAAUCAGAGGUGUGAACUAUCUUACUUAUACCUUUAUAUAUGUUGCUCUUAUCAAGAAUAAUAGGAAGCUUGAAGAUAGUGUGGGGAUGGAGCUGAACGUAUAUUGUAUUGUGGAUAUGGUAAAUUUUCAUUAUGUCUCUAAUGAUAAAGAUGCUGGGCCUUCAAAUCUCAGAAAUCAGAGCUGCCUAUAAAUCUGAGUGAGAGCCACAGAGCUGGUAUGCUCUGCAUCUUAGAAAAGAAGGAAGAAUGUAUAUAGAGAAGAAAAAGUGGCUUGUGACAUUAUUCAGCAGAGCCAACAACAGUGAAUAGGAGAAAGCUCAG
rnacentral:lncRNA from 1 species